CAGACGACGGUGAGGGAGGGUGGCGCAGUCCUGGGGAGGACGGCGACAGAUGGCGGUCCUUAGGGCUGCGGCAGCCGGUCGCCCCUCCCGUCUUGCGAGUCUGCAUCUGCAGGUGACCUACGAGCAGAGAGAGCAGCGGAUAUUAAUUGCCGACUGGGGUCGGCGAGGGUUGCGCGCCGGUGUGUUCUUCUUCAAAUGCGGCGAUGAAGACCGAUCGACCCUCCGAUCCGCCUGGUGAGAUUCUCCAUUUCCUUCCCGUUCGCCCCUCCCGUCUUGUGAGUCUGCUUCUGAAGAUGAGCAGAGAGAGCAGCGGAUAUUAAUUGCGGAGUGGGGACAGCGAGGAUUCCGCAUCUGUGUGUUCUUCAUCAUAUGCUGUGAUGAAGGGCGAACAGCCCUAGGAUCCGCCAGGUGAGCUUCUCCAUUUCCCUGAGAUGCGUGAAGCACGAAUCUCAUUAGAAGUUGAUCUGGGUGCUUGCAGAAAAUCAGAAUAGGAUAGUUCGGAAUUCCAUCUCCCGUACAGUGCGGAUCAAUGUUUUCGUUAUCAUAAUCCUUGUCUCCUCCACGAGGACCAGGUACCGAUGUCACCGAGGAUUCAAUAACAUGGAGAGAUUUGAUAACCGAUGACUAGUUUGAUGAAAUAUCAUGGACGGAAUCGGCAUCGAAAGGAUUCAAACAUGAUACAAGGAUUAGUAGUAACCUAGAAGAGAACCCCACAAAUACGUCAUCACCAUUUCCAUUACAUCUCGAUUCUCCACAGAAUCAUGUGAAACUGGUCACAUGUUCACCAUCAAAUUUUAAUUUAAAAAGAGAGCGGGGAUCAUAUUUCGGCAGGAAGUUGUCAUCGUCUUGGCUAAAGAGAAUGAGCCGGGAUCUUGCCCAGAUUCAGUGGAACCACUGAGCUCAUAAAUGGGAAGUGUCAGCACACCAGAUUGCACAUAAAUACAUGCGCUUACAUGGCGUACGGAUUGAAAUGAUGGCUUCCUUAAUGGGGUUUGAAGCCAACUCUAUUCGUUCAGAGAAUCAUUCGGAGCCUGCUGAUUUUACACAGGCAGGGCAGCUGGUGCCCAUUCUGGUUUCCAAAUUGGAAAUCUGGUAAACAAUCAUGUGAGUUCACGCUCUUGCUUCAUCUGCAGAAAGGUCCCGUGUCGUUGAUCAUUGCUCCUAAAAUCUUUUCCUUCAGGCACCGCAGAACUUCCUUCAGUUGUUUUGUGGCUGCUGUUCCGUGCUGCAGGGACAUUAUGGUUGUGCUUUCCUUCAUAUGUGGUUAUCACUGCCUUGGGGUUCGUCGAAGCUCUUUCGACUUGCUUGCGGACAUUACAUCCAGGGCUGGUGCAUUUGUAGUAACUCCUGCAGAUUUCAAUGGAGAGGGGUAAGAUGAGGCUUCAUGAGGAUGCACACUGAGCUCGUGGGUAAGAAACACGGGCUAUAACGCUCGAAAUAACGUGCAAUAAUCCUCAUCCCUCUUACUACUGUAACAAAUGCGGAAAUCUCUGCCUCUAGAGUGCUGGUAUUGGAGAACAGACAGCUGCUAUAUUAUGUCUUGAUUGCCAGAGAAGAUAUGCUCGUCUGCUUGACACAAUCACAGAAGGUAUCUGAAAAAAGCCUCGUCAAUAGCACUGUGCAUUCAUGAACCAGAUGAGCAUAAUUUGUCGUGGAAGGGAGGGGAUCAGGAGGUAAGUAAUCUGGUGUGAUGCUAGCUCGGCAUUGCUCCUUGAAGCCAUCUUUACAGCUGACCUAUUGGAUUCCACGAAAGACACUCUGUUGGUCCUGCGAUCCUAACUAUUCCGUUAGAUCCUGGAAAAGGUAUCUAGCUAUGGUUGAGUUGGCUGAGUAGAAGGGAUAUUUCAUCGAUAGCCUGUUCACGAAGGAAAGUAUCGAAGAGUUUUCAUUCUUUCAUAUGGGAUUACUACAGCAAAGAAAUAACUCAGGGAAGCUAUUUGAUGGAAGGAUUCAUGAUCGAACCAGACGAUAUAAGUCGUUUUUGAGAAUCAAUAGGUAAAGGGAUCACAAAUGGAUAUGCAAUAGAACAGGUCCUGGCCUCAUAUUUACUUAUUACUUUACAGUAUGCAUUCAAGUGCCCAAGCAUGAAUGGUCAUUUCACAUGUUCAUUAAGAACUUUCAACAUCUUCGCUGCUAAAUUUUCUGAAAGAUCAUUCCAUCACAAAGAAAAAUAGGGGUUUCUUGAAGGGUAAGGCUUCUGAACCGAAGAUAGGAAGAAAAAAAACUUCUGACAGACGUGAUCUAUAUAAUCCAUCAUUUUGUUUCACUUGACAGAGAUAAAAUUGUUUCCUAGGAGACAGAUUAGUCUAGUACCAUCUUCUCUACACGAAAAGAAUUCAUUACCUCGGGUUAGAAUUUCCUUUAACCACUUUUUGACCAUAUUUCCGCCAUCUGUAGCCAUCGUCUAGAAGAUCAACUUCACUUGUGGUCUGCACAAUUAUCCUUGGUUCUGUGACUGUUCUUUGAGAAGAACUUGAUUCAAUAGCACCGGUUUGUAAUUUCCUGUUCCAUUAAUCAAGAUUUACUUAGAAAUACAUGUUCCAUAUAAGUAACCUGUCAGGCGCUAGCUAAAUAUAAAAAUAAUAAAAAAAGUACCUCCGUUUCGGAUCAAGCUCAGCAUCACACCCUUCAGCUGUUCUUUCUUCAAAAUCAUCUACUUCCUCGUCAUCACCUGAGCCAGAUGGCUGUUCGGAUGAUGCAUGCAGAGGCUCCUGAUCUCUUCUAUAUGCUGGAUUGGUUGGCACCUGCUCAGUUAAUCUAUGCAUCUUUCUCGCCUGACUUUGAAAACCCACAUCAUCUUGAAAACCUGCUUCUGAAUUAUCACCCAGGUUCAUGUUCCCAUUGGGCUCACCUAAACCACCUUCCCUGGAACGCUUAUUGGCGGGGGGGCGCUGGUGGUUGUGUUCCCCCUUAUAUAUAAUUUCUGUAACCUGCCCAUCAAGAGACCUUUCAACUUUUUUCUUCACAGGACAUUUCGAGUGAGUGCACUUGUAAUAACUCCUAGGGCACUCACUGCCCUUGACAACCUUCUGCCCAUAUUUCCUCCAGUUGUAGCCGUCGUCAGAGGGUUUGUCAAUGACGAUAGAUGCAGCUUGAGCUCUCUGUCUAGACUGAGAACCCUCUGCUGUUUCUGAGACUGACGUCGAAGCUUUUUUUUGUUCUAACAGAGAAGAACCGACAGCAGAGCUAUUGGGAUGUGCCCAAGAGGCAUCGGCUGAGGUUUCUACGGGCAUCUGCACAUGGGAAGUAGAAUGCGCUACCUGAGAAGCCUGAGCAGUGACGUGCGCCAGUGCCUCUUGGUGUGAGAUCCCAAAGGGUCCCUGCGAGGUAAGAAAUAAAAUUAUGGAGAUAAUCUACGAAUUUUCCCCAAGUUCGGCAUCCCUUUCCCCACUAUAUGAUCAGAUAAUCUACUUCCUGAAUGAUCUUUUUCUCUUUUUUAUCUGGACGACUACUGCGCAGCUUGAUCCUUGAUUUAGUUAUAUCUCUGGUUACAUUCCAGUUGCUGGAUAAACAGUUCAUAAAUAGCAUGACUUUCCUAGCCGGAAAAAGGAAAAAAAGGUAGAAGAGAGAUCUGAAAAGUCAGGACCCUCUGGUGGAUCGCUUGUGGCAAUAAUCAUGGAUCAUGCCAGGUCAAUAAUGAUAAUCAGCAUUGAACAACAGAGCUGGAAAAUUUUCCAUCUGACCCAAAUGGAGAUUAAUCUGCUGGUGUAGUGUAGUCCCAGAUUUCCACCAGAUGGAUAUAAAUCAUCCACAGGAACCAAAACCAAAACCCAGGCAAGUUCUUGAUUCUCAGUAGAUUCUCCUCUACUUAAUGCAUACUUUUAGCAGGAGGACUAAGAGGUGGAAGUGGAUUAUUUAAACAAGAUGGCCCAUGAGUCAGGUUCCUGCCAUUUCGAUUCUGAACUACUUUUUCUCUGCAGAUUUAUUGUCCGAGAUAGGUGAACCUUAUAAAUGCCUUAUUUUUUUUGGGGGUGGGGGGGUUGACAGGAAACCCUAAAACCCAUGAGGAACAGGCAUCCUAUGAAUGAAGUAAUUAAAGAAAGAUCCUCAUUCAGACAACGUAUAAACUUCAGGUGGGCCCUUCAUAGGUGCGGAACCUUGACCUCUCUGACCGAACCCGGCCCCCUCUACUUCAAAGAUCUAACUCCUUCAAGGGUGGGGUCUCUACUGCGACUGAGAAAGAUCUGUGUCCUUAAUGGUUUCUUGCCCUUAUUCUCUCUUCCUCCUUGAUCUACUCUCUCCUUCUUCUUCUUCGUCUUCUUCUUCUUCUACCCCCCGUGGGCUGGAAUAGGGUUUCGCUGCUAAGAACCAGAGACCCCCUUGAGAUGAUCUCCAGAGGUAGAUUCAGAAAGCUCUGCUCCACCGACACAGAACCAUGGCGGAGUACGUAGACGAGACCAGGUGCAUCGAAACCAUCAUGCGAGACCUAACCGGGAGGCUAUUUUUCUUCAGGGAAGCACUCACCGAACGAGGCGUGAAUAGAGAAGGAGAAUCCAGCAAGGCGCCGGGGCUGAGUCCCUGCGGCAUGGUGAAGAAGGGCGGCGCCGCCCCGUCAUUCUCCUUCCCCUCCAGCGGAGCAGCCUCCUUCCCGCCGUGAUCCUGCGCCGUGGGGUAGCUCCACUGCAUCCUCCCCAAAAUUGGUGCCGCCGGAGACGCCAUGGCCCCCGCCAGGAGCUGCGAGAAGGACCGGCAGUCGGAUUCGCUGUCCUCCGCGAAGAAGCUCGAGACCAGCGUCAUCGGACUCAGGCUUGUGACGCCGCCGCCCGUCCGCGGCGGCGCCGCUCUUGACGCUCCUCCCCCCUCCUCCUCCGCCAUCUGGGCCGGUGGUGGGAAGAGCUAGCUGAUUCCCCUCCGCCGCCUCCCUCCUCCGGAAUUCUCCACCCUCUCUCUCCUC
rnacentral:lncRNA from 1 species